rnacentral:rRNA from 1 species
CAUAGGUUAAUGAGGCGAACCGGGGGAACUGAAACAUCUAAGUACCCCGAGGAAAAGAAAUCAACCGAGAUUCCCCCAGUAGCGGCGAGCGAACGGGGAGCAGCCCAGAGCCUGAAUCAGUGUGUGUGUUAGUGGAAGCGUCUGGAAAGGCGCGCGAUACAGGGUGACAGCCCCGUACACAAAAAUGCACAUACUGUGAGCUCGAUGAGUAGGGCGGGACACGUGGUAUCCUGUCUGAAUAUGGGGGGACCAUCCUCCAAGGCUAAAUACUCCUGACUGACCGAUAGUGAACCAGUACCGUGAGGGAAAGGCGAAAAGAACCCCGGCGAGGGGAGUGAAAAAGAACCUGAAACCGUGUACGUACAAGCAGUGGGAGCACGCUUAGGCGUGUGACUGCGUACCUUUUGUAUAAUGGGUCAGCGACUUAUAUUCUGUAGCAAGGUUAACCGAAUAGGGGAGCCGAAGGGAAACCGAGUCUUAACUGGGCGUUAAGUUGCAGGGUAUAGACCCGAAACCCGGUGAUCUAGCCAUGGGCAGGUUGAAGGUUGGGUAACACUAACUGGAGGACCGAACCGACUAAUGUUGAAAAAUUAGCGGAUG